rnacentral:rRNA from 1 species
UCGGGAAUAUUGCGCAAUGGAGGAAACUCUGACGCAGUGACGCCGCGUAUAGGAAGAAGGUUUUCGGAUUGUAAACUAUUGUCGUUAGGGAAGAAAAAGACAGUACCUAAGGAGGAAGCUCCGGCUAACUACGUGCCAGCAGCCGCGGUAAUACGUAGGGAGCGAGCGUUAUCCGGAUUUAUUGGGUGUAAAGGGUGCGUAGACGGGUUAGCAAGUUAGUUGUGAAAUCCCUCGGCUUAACUGAGGAACUGCAACUAAAACUGCCAAUCUUGAGUGCAGGAGAGGUAAGUGGAAUUCCUAGUGUAGCGGUGAAAUGCGUAGAUAUUAGGAGGAACACCAGUGGCGAAGGCGACUUACUGGACUGUAACUGACGUUGAGGCACGAAAGUGUGGGGAGCAACAGGAUUAGAUACC